rnacentral:rRNA from 1 species
UACAGAGGGUGCGAGCGUUAAUCGGAAUUACUGGGCGUAAAGGGCGCGUAGGCGGUUUAUUAAGUUUGAUGUGAAAUCCCUGGGCUUAACCUAGGAACUGCGUUGAAAACUGAUAGACUAGAGUACUGUAGAGGGUAGUGGAAUUUCCGGUGUAGCGGUGAAAUGCGUAGAUAUCGGAAGGAACACCAGUGGCGAAGGCGGCUACCUGGACAGAUACUGACGCUGAGGCGCGAGAGCGUGGGGAGCAAACAGG